UGCACCUCAUCUAAAAAGACUUGGGUGGACCUCUUUCUUAAUGUCCAGUGUCCUGUGUCUGAUGAUCAGGUGCA